rnacentral:rRNA from 1 species
CAGUAGCCGCGGGAAAACGUAGGGUGCGAGCGUUAAUCGGAAUUACUGGGCGUAAAGCGUGCGCAGGCGGUUGUGUAAGACAGGUGUGAAAUCCCCGGGCUUAACCUGGGAACUGCGCUUGUGACUGCACAGCUAGAGUAUGGCAGAGGGGGGUGGAAUUCCACGUGUAGCAGUGAAAUGCGUAGAGAUGUGGAGGAACACCGAUGGCGAAGGCAGCCCCCUGGGCCAAUACUGACGCUCAUGCACGAAAGCGUGGGGAGCAAACAGGAUUAGAUACCCCCGUAGUCCCUGUCUCUUAUAC